UAGGGAAUCUUCCACAAUGGACGCAAGUCUGAUGGAGCAACGCCGCGUGAGUGAAGAAGGUUUUCGGAUCGUAAAGCUCUGUUGUUGGUGAAGAAGGAUAGAGGCAGUAACUGGUCUUUAUUUGACGGUAAUCAACCAGAAAGUCACGGCUAACUACGUGCCAGCAGCCGCGGUAAUACGUAGGUGGCAAGCGUUGUCCGGAUUUAUUGGGCGUAAAGCGAGCGCAGGCGGAAUGAUAAGUCUGAUGGGAAAGCCCACGGCUCAACCGUGGAACUGCAUCGGAAACUGUCAUUCUUGAGUGCAGAAGAGGAGAGUGGAAUUCCAUGUGUAGCGGUGGAAUGCGUAGAUAUAUGGAAGAACACCAGUGGCGAAGGCGGCUCUCUGGUCUGCAACUGACGCUGAGGCUCGAAAGCAUGGGUAGCGAACAGG
rnacentral:rRNA from 1 species